CAAUGGUCUCUUGCUCCCAGGAGGCCCUGAGGUGUCACAAUGCCCCCUUGGUGACACGAGGCCCUGAAGGGUCCUCAUGGUCUCCAUGGUUCCAUCAGGCCCCACAGAGUCAUGAUGGUCUCUGGGUCCAUGAAGCCCCGCUGUGUCACCAUGGCCCCUUGGUUCCAUGGGCUCCAGUGGUGCCACAAUGAUCCCCUUGGUUCCAUGAGGUCCCCACAGUGUCACAGGGAUCUCCAUGGGAAGGAAAGAACCGAGCCCCAGUGUGGCAGGGGCAGCCACCAGAUGCCAAGGCCAGCCAGACUUGACGGAAGGAAAACUCUGAGCCCAAGUGUUUCAGGAGCAGAAGAGGAGAGAGGUGGCUCCUGGGAGGCCAAGCCAACCCGACUGGUUUGUCCUGGCAGCUUUUGUCAUGAAGGAAUCCUUGGAUACAUUGAAUGUGGGAGGAGGAAUCUCAGUUUUUACCACGGACCCCUUGAGAAGAAAGAAGGUUCUCUUCCAUUGGAAGGAAAGCACCGAGCCCCAGUGUUUGGAUAGCAGGUGAGAGGCAGCUCUCAAGAGGCCAAGGGCAGCCAGACCUGUCUGUCCUGGCUGCUUUCACUUGGGAGCAAUCCUUGGAUGUACGGAGUUUCGGAGGUGGAAUCCCAGUUUUGGCCAUGGGCACCUGGACAGGAAGAUGAGUUCUUUUCAUUAGGAAGGAAAGCAGAGAGCCCCAGUGUUUCAGAGACACAUGAGUGCCAGCCCUCAGGACCCAAGGCCAGCCAGACUUGUCAGUCCUGGCAGCUUUUGUCUGGGAGCUAUCCUUGGAUAUAGGGAAUUCUGGAGGCAGAUGCCCAAUUUUGGCCAUGGGUGCCUGGCGGAGAUGGAUGGUUUUUCCCACAAGAUAUAAAAGCACAUGGUCCCAGCGUUUAAAGGCAUAUGAGAGGUGGCCCCUGGGUGGCCAAGGCAGCCAGAUCUGUCUCUCCAGGCAGAUUUCAUCUGGGAACAAUCCUUGUAUACAAGGAAACUUGGAGAAGGAAUCCCACUUUUGGCCAUAGACCCCUGGAGAAGGACAGUUCUCUCCCAUAGGAAGGGAAGCCCAGAGCCCCAGUGCUUCAGGGGCAGGUGAGAAGCAGCCCUCGACAUGCCAAGUUCAGCUGGACCUGUCAGGUGGUCCCCAGGAGCCCCAGCCAGCCAGACCUGUUCCAUGUUCCCUUGGUUUCGUGGGACCCCACAGUGUCACAAUGGUCUCCUUGGUUCCAUGAGGCCCUGGAGUGUCACAAUGUCCCCCUUGCUUCUGCAGUGUCACAAUGGCCCCGUGCUUCCAUGGGGCCCUGCAAUGUCACAAUGGCUUUGUGGUUCCACAGAGCCCUGAUGUGUCACAAUGGCCCCUCGGCUCCAUGCACCCUCGCUGUGACACAACAGCUUCUCUGUGACACUGCGGGCUCCACAAGGUCACCACGAACCCUUGGCUCCUUGGGGCCCCCGAGUUUCACAAUGUCUCCUUGAUUCCAUGAGGCAGCACGGUGUCGCAAUGGCCCCUUGGCUCCAUGAGGUUCCGUAGUGUCACCAUGGUGUCCUUGGACCCGCAUUGUCACAACUGACCUGUGGUAAUCACAUAUCCUCUGAACAGAGAGAGAGAGAGCUCUCCCAGGAUUUUUCUGGGAAGCUGUGAGAAAGCUCAGAGAAAAGAAUGAGAAACAAUUCUUAUCUUCACUUGCUGCACCUGUUGUUGUGCACAUGUGGAAUGUGUUAUGGAGAUUUGUUUACCAAAGGGUGAUUUCUUAAUUGGCCAAUGGUGACGGUGUUUGGAUUUCAA